GUACGGGGGGGGGUAAGCGUUGUUCGGAAUUAUUGGGCGUAAAGGGCUCGUAGGCGGCUUGUCGCGUCGGAUGUGAAAACCCGCAGCUCAACUGCGGGCCGACAUUCGAUACGGGCAGGCUUGAGUCCGGCAGGGGAGACUGGAAUUCCUGGUGUAGCGGUGAAAUGCGCAGAUAUCGGGAAGAACACCCGUGGCGAAGGCGGUUCUCUGGGACGGUACUGACGCUGAGACGCGAAAGCGUGGGGAGCGAACAGG
rnacentral:rRNA from 1 species